AGAAUCACAGAUUUUAGCCUUCGUGACUCACCCCCGGUUUUGAGGUCAAACCGGUCAAAUCCUCUUGCACGCCCCCCAAGCGUGACUCAUCCCCGAUUUUGAGGCCAAACCGGUCAAACCCACUUGCACGCCCUGCAAGGCAUGGCUCACCGAUGUCGACACGUGUUCGGCCUCCGCCAAGCCUUCGACGCCUCCAAGUCUUUUGCUCCCAGCUCCCAGGCCGCCUACUCAACUUGCCUACGUCUAGCUUGACUUGACCGACGCCGUCAUCAUCACCGUCCAUGUACUCUUGCUCUUCUGUGCACCAUGUGUACCGUCCAUGACUCUGCCCAGACUCCUCGGGUCCCUCGAUCCAAGCCUACUCGUGUCCACCCUUCACAGCCCUAGUACAUCGGCAUCAACCUUUCUCUUGACCUUCACCUCAUGUCGUCGACUGCCAUGUCGCAUCCUACACAUGCACAUCACAAGCCAAGAGACACAACACACAAGAUAUGUUUUAUACAAACACUGCAACACAACUCACACCUUCGGUUAGUCGUUAGCAUAAUCAAGUGCAUAUAUGGAAUAUGGACUCAACCGUUAAAUCCUCAAAUCAUCUAGUCAAUCACUCAUCACAAAUAGACCAAGUUACUUCUUAACUUGGUCUCUCAAUCUCCCCCUUGAUAAGUGCAUUGACAAAAGAUGAUUUGAAAGCAAAAGAGAACUCAUUCAAGUGCCCAAGAAACAAAUAGAACCAAACACAAGGCCACUUGAAAUGAGAAGGGAUCAUGCAAGCUUGGAACAAAAAUUCUAGGUUGCAACAAAGCCAUUUGUCAAUUUCCCCCUUAAUGAAUCCCACAAGACAACCAAAAAGUUAGGCGAUAGACUAAAGAGCUUCAUGAAUCCCAAAAUGCCGUCAAAGCCAUUUCAACAGUUGUCAAAUACUCAUCACAAUUAACUCAAGGUUCAUAUCAACUUGAUUUUCACAAUCUCCCCCUUGAUGAGUGUGUUGACAACAUUCAAGCACAAAGAAAUGGUUUGAGAGGCAAAAGUCAUAUCUCAUCCAAGUGAUUGAAAGCUAAGUAAAAACUGAGAUCAAAGUCACUUGAGAUGAGAAGAACCAUAAAAGCCAAGUUGUGAAACCAAUUAGGCAAAACUCUCAUCCAAGUGAUUGAAAGCCAUGUGAAGGCAAAUAUUAAAGUCACUUGGUAUGAGAAACAUCACAAAGGUAAAAUCAACUUGGAAAAGUCUCAGUCCCCAAAGACAUGGGCAAUGGCUCGACACAACCAAGACAAAAACAUAUGAUCUCUCAAGAAGAGGCACAAAAGGCUCAACACCAAUCAUGUGAAGAUCGAAAACACAUGAUCUCUCAAGAAAAGGCAGAAAAGGGCUCAACACCAAUCAUGUGAUGAUUGAAAGCUCAAACCAAAUACCGGCUCCUGAAGAAGAGGUAAAAAGCUCAACAUGACCGAUAAAAGAGCAAAAGAGAGCACAAAACUAGCACAAAGCUUAGAAGCUGCCACUAAACACAAGCAACAUAGCAAAAGAGCACACAAAGCUCACAGGCUCCCCCUAAACACAUGUACUCCCCUUAAAAACAUGCCACAAUGAAAUGCAUGCACAAGAGCAAAAUAAUGCAUGCUCCCCCUCAAAUGCAAAACUCCCACUUAAAUGCAAGACUCCCCCUUAAAUACAAACAUCAAGAUUCACAUGGGAGAACAAAAUGUAUAUAAGGAGAUGCAGAACCUAC
rnacentral:lncRNA from 1 species